GCGGGCGAUAUGGAGGAAUGUCCGAUCUGCUAUGAGCAGCGUGGAGAUGUCGUCCAGCUGGUGCACGUCGGCGGAGA
rnacentral:ribozyme from 1 species